rnacentral:lncRNA from 1 species
UCUUUUCAGUUUUCUCCCACUCUUAUUUCUCUAUUGCAAUGCCAGAGGCAUGGUAGUGAAUACAUUUGGAUUCCUGAAAUAUAUGGGGAAUGGUAGCGAACAUUUUGAUUCCUGGAGGAUUUUCAUAUCCAGGAGAAAUGGAGUGAUACAAACUUAAUUGUUUGGUUCUGUUUUAACUUAGUCCAGGGCUUGGGGUUUCAAUUCCACACACUGCAACUGGCCCAGGGGAUGACAUGAUGGCAUAAGUGUUGUUGGGAUGAAACUAUGAUAUUAAGCCUUCAGAUAUCUGAACUCGCAUUGAUUACAAUAAACAAAUGCUGAAGGCUCAGAGAAAUCUUUGCAGGUAGAUACAUUGUAAGUGCCUCUACAUGCAUAACCAUACUUUUAGAAGUUGUUGUGUGGGUUGAGGCUGAGCCUUUUGUACCAAAAAGUCUGGAAUAUCUACGCAUCGAAUAAUCUCUUAGCAAUGACUGUGUCAUCCAUAUUCAGAGAACUAGAACUGUCUUUCGAUGAGUAAUUCCACCUAGAUCAACAGCUAUCUUAAAUAAGAUAAAGCGAAGGAUUCCCUCUAACAAGGUGUGCUAGUGGAACAAGAAUAUUUCAAUUUCUGAAAGGAUAUCAAUACAGAGUCUCUCCAAAUCAAGUCUAGUUAUUCAUCAAAGAAUAUCUGUUCUCAUCCUUGGUUUGAUCAAUGAAGUCAAGAGAGCAUUUAUGCCUUUGAUCAUUCGAACUAUGGAUAUCGACACAAAAUCCCUUGACAUCAAAAUAUCACCACAUGCCACUGCCACAAACAGAAGGUUCUUUUUGCUAGAGAUAGUAAUGUAAACCAUAAGGUUAUGUGGAACCCAUGAUUGGCUAGAAGAAAGUACUUCUUGGUUCUAGAUUACAAGCAGAACCAUGCACUUAAGAUCCCAUUUAGAUUUACACAUACAGCAUGGUGCCAUCAUAAUCACAUUUUUGACAGGGUGACUACAUUCAAGUAGCCUUAUUCAGAUGACGCGAUGUCUGGUUUGGCAUAGAAACAUUAUUCUCUGCAUAAACAUAUAGUCUAUGGCUUGGCAUCCGCAUCCAUAUCACAUGCUUGGUUUGACAUUGAGGCGGUUUGCUACCUUCUGACCGAGCGAAACAUCACACUGCACCCACAAAGCAAUAAUAAGGAAUCAAGGCAGGGAAAAUCCAGCAUGCUUGUUUAGAUCUGAUGAUUUUUUUCAGAUUUCAUUC